GCACCAGAGCCAAUGGAACUU
rnacentral:misc_RNA from 1 species